UACGGAGGGUGCAAGCGUUAUCCGGAUUUAUUGGGUUUAAAGGGUCCGUAGGCGGACUCGUAAGUCAGUGGUGAAAUCUCAUAGCUUAACUAUGAAACUGCCAUUGAUACUGCGGGUCUUGAGUAAGGUAGAGGUAGCUGGAAUAAGUAGUGUAGCGGUGAAAUGCAUAGAUAUUACUUAGAACACCAAGUGCGAAGGCAGGUUACCAUGUCUUAACUGACGCUGAUGGACGAAAGCGUGGGGAGCAAACAGG
rnacentral:rRNA from 1 species